AUUGAACGCUGGCGGCAGGCUUAACACAUGCAAGUCGAGCGAGCGGCGGACUGGUGAGUAAUUUCUGGAAAACUGCCUGAUGGAGCGGGAUAACUACUGGAAACGGUAGCUACUACCGCAUACCAUCAGAUGUGCCCAGAUGGGCUUAGCUAGUAGGUGGGGUAAUGGCUCACCUAGGCGACGAUCCCUAGCUGGUCUGAGAGGAUGACCAGCCACACUGGAACUGAGACACGGUCCAGACUCCUACGGGAGGCAGCAGUGGGGAAUCUUGGACAAUGGGCGCAAGCCUGAUGGAGCCAUGCCGCGUGUGUGAAGAAGGACUUCGGGUUGUAAAGCACUGUCAGCGAGGAAGCGUUACUCGCAGAAGAAGCACCGGCUAACUACGUGCCAGCAGCCGCGGUAAUAC
rnacentral:rRNA from 1 species